AAAAGGCAGCGUUAUGUAGGCGCGGAGGAAAAUGUCCGAUUUCGAGACAUGGGCAGGUGGAAGAAAUCAUCCGGUGAAAAACACUCAUUUAUGAAAGUGUGGCAGAAGUCAUGGUAACAUUCACACCACGCAGAGCAGCAGUGUCUCCGGCCGUGCAGAGGGUGAGUGGGAUGCCCCAUCCUCAUCGCUCCAUCCUGACUCAGACGGCCGCGCGCUGGGCCAAGAAGCCCCACCUCGACUGGGUGAUCAGUCGCUCUCCACUCCGUCAGCUGCAAGAAGCACGGAGCUCCAACCUGUUUUUGUGUCUGUCCAACAGACGGAUUAUACGCGGAAGGGAGCGGAGUGAAGAACGAAGGCCUUUCCAUGCUAUUUCAUUUGAUUUCAUCAUUUGGUUCCAUGUUGUCUCUUCACUCAGGACUGGCCUGCAUACAAGCUGAACUACAGGCUCCCCAAGCUGCACUGCUGCACCUGCUUUAAUCUCAAAGAGUAGCUUUAAGAUCCAAAUAUUCCAGAUUUCUUGUUUCACAUGCAAGAGCAAUGUAAAAACACAAAAUCUUACAGAGUAUUUUUAGCCUAGCUUCUAGUGCAAAUAUCUUGUUACGCUUGAAAUAAAACAAAGCUAAACUUUUCAGUGA